CAGGUGUGUAACAACUGAGAUAUUUUUAUUGCUGAUUGGUUCCUAUUCCUGAAUACUGCUGAUCUGGAAGAGCAAAGGUAUGAAAUGGUGCCUCCACCAGCGAGAUGGAACACCUUGCCCACACUCUGAAAUGAACAUUCCUAACAGUAAAGAGAAGGAACUGAUAAACGUUGGAGUGAAACAAGUGUCCGAGGCCUCAUCUCUCCAGAUGCUGUGCAAGAGAAUGACAAGAUGAGUAUCCCGCUGUCCUCGCUCUCCCGUCUGGCUGAGGAGCUGAUUCUCCUGGCUUAGGUGAGCAGAACCCACCUACUGAGGAGAGUGGCAUUACAAACCUUGAGGCUCUAAAUGCCAAAGGAAAGAUGCACUCAGGAGCACACGAUGACAGUGUUGGGCUGAGCCCUGGUGUCAGCAGCUGCUGCCCUCCUAUUUGCAGUUAGACCCCCGGGACAAGGGAGAGACUGGGGAGCGAGCCACUGCCCAGGGCAUGUUCUCCACAGGUGGGAACGUAAGCACCUCCAGCUGUCACCCGCCAGGGAUGUUUUGCCUCCCUAGCUCCAGCCCUCGUCAGAGCUGGGAUACAGGAGUUGCCUGCGUGUGGAUGCAUGAAAAUUCAAUAUGAACCCAUAGCACAAAUUCAUGUUUUUCAAUGUAUGAGCUAAAACCUGGAGCUUCAAAAAGAAGUCAAUGCAAAUACGACAGCGAGAUUAAAAGGCUGUAGGAAUCUCUUUUGCUUGCUUAGUGAGAUUUGAAGAUUUAAUGUGUGCAGCCAUCCAUAUUUAGAAAGCAGACUUAAAAUUGCUCCGGAGCUGUGCAAGACAACAAUCCUCAUUUAAAAGCAUCUACUUGUACCUCAGUUGUGUGUAAAGCUUGCCGCUGUGGGCUCCACUUAGAGAACAAAACCAAAAUUAAUCUGAAGGAGAAGCUAUUCAUUGUGAGCGUGUCACCUUCCAGGGUAUCUUAUGGAUUUUAAAAAGCUGCUGAAGCUCUGCUGAGGGGAAAAGGUCUGUGUUGAUGGAUGUGGCCACGUGGCCAGAGCCACUUUCACAAGCAUUGUCUGUCAGACCCCCGCUGAAUCCAGAGCGAUGAAAGGGGUGCCUGGAAAAUCCCCUGCUCCUGUUUCUCCUUUGGUUUUAUUGUAAUGCUUUUUGAGGUAGGACUGAGUGUAAUGCCUGGAGUCAAGCGUUUUUGGUGGAUGUUGGAUCCAAAAAGAUUGCAUUCUGCUGAUGUAUGUGAGCGUGUUGGGGAAGAAUUAGGCAAUCUUUCAUCAUUUAGAAGCAGCGUGACGCUACUCUGCUGUGAGGCGAAGAUCCCCACCUCUCCUAGCCUGUCCUCGCAUGGAAAGUGCUCCAGUCUUUGGAUCAUCUCUGUGGUCUCCUCUGGACUCGCUCUAACUGGUCUGUGCUCUUCCUGUCCUGAGGACUCCAGAAUUGAACGCAGGAUGCCAGUAUUUUCCUGUAAAGAAUAUGCAGCAUGCUAGACGCCAGGGAAUAGGUGAGUUUUAUUUUUGUAUUGACUCGUAAAGCAUUUCAUGCUUUUUUUUCCCCUAACUUCUUGCAUUUCAAAUACAUUAGGGUCAUUGGUUGUAAUGGGAAUGCCAACGUCAAGGUCAGCUGAAAGAUUAUUUAAUAUAUUUGGGGGAUGUCAGUGCUGAAAUUCCCUAGAAGCAAAUAUGCAUGAUUUUGAGUGUUUGUAGAUAUAGAUAAUGGACAGAGAAUGGAUAAUAGACAUCCUGUGUUCAAUUCAGGUUUGUGUAGAGAACACACGAUGCACAGUUAUGAAAGUAUGUCAAGGGGCAUUGGAGCAUGUGUGGUAAUGAUGAAAGUGGAAAAUUAAGCUCCCAACUCUCUGUCUCUCUCUCCCUAUAUGUAUAAGCACGCACCGUGUCAUAAUUAUGCAAAGAAGGAAGUGGAAGAUGGUCUUUUAGAACGAGAGGUGGUUUAUUUUUGGUGGCCCUAUCCAUGUACUUAUCACCAGGCCCUGUUGUUCUAAAGUGCAGCGUUAACAUAGCUGUAGAGCAGAGAAAUCUUGAACCUAUCUAAAGUUUUUUCCACUCAGAUAAUAAAUAAAUGAGGUCAGAAUGCAUGUUAUUUUAAUUAAAAUAAUCAAUAGUCAUUGAAGGAACAGUACUUCAUCCUCCCAUCUUGGAGACCGAAAGUACUGUUAAUCCAGCAAUGUAACUCCAGGGCAACUCAAAAAUGAGAAGAAAAAACUGCCCAUAUUGGUGCUUGGGCACAGAUUUUCAGCUUACCUGUGGCAGUUGUCUUGAUAUCGCUGUUAAUAGAAUUCUGCCUUGUCUUCCGAUUACCCAGGUUUUACAGAUACUCGAGAAAACAUACGUUUAGAGAAAACCUAGCAUGAUUCAUGUAGCUUGAGCUGAGUGAGUUUUUGCUUAAUUAAAUGAAUUAUGUAGACAUUUUUUAAUUGUCAAAAUGCCAAAACCAAUACGCUGCACUUUGAAAAUCCUCUCUAUUUUUAGAACAAUACUGACUUUGUGUCUUAUAUUGAAAUUCUUCAGCCUAGUAAUCUAUAAUAUGCUCGAGGCUAUUUUGAUAUUGCUGCCUUUUAAUUAAGCACAUCCGUUGUUAAUAUUUUUAAAGUUGGAUUAAAUUCUUUUGCUAGUAUUUUUAAUAGGCCUGUUAGUAAUUAUAUGCUUUUGCUACAGCAGAUUGGUAACUCAUUAGUUCUUAAGGAAAAAAAUAUAUUUGUUCUAAGGAGUAAACAGGGCCUUUUGCACCGUAAGUUGAUAGUGUUGAGCACCACUCAGAAGGAUGACGAGUACUUCAAGACUAGUGCAGUAUUCCGUGUAUAUACCUGUAUUUAACUCAUAAGCCAUAAAACAUCCAGGGUUUUAAAAUUACAGUUGUUUGAUUAUGUAUGUCUGUAACUACUACCUGCUCCUCAUCUACGCUGUGGUGUAAAGGGAAAGGAUCUAAGUCGUACAUGGUAAUAUGCCAUAUUAUACAAUAUUAGCAAGAUCCUCCCCCAGCGCGUACUUAACAUUCUGCUCUGUUUUGGUAUUGUUAGAGCAGGCGCCCUGUGCAAGUGAACCAAUUAAAGUCUGAUGUGAUUUAUGGUGUCUUAAAUUGUGAGGCUGCAACUAUAAAUAUUGCAAAGGGCUUUGAUUUUCAGAUGAUGCCAAACAUUCCCAUUCUCAAAAUUAGAUCUCACUGAGAUGUGUAGUAUUAGGGGAGUAAACACAUCAUUUCUAAUUUCAUUUCUAUUCUUUUCUGUGACUAAUAUAGAUGAAAAAGGAUUCCAUAAUAGCGUGUCAUAUAUCGAAUUCAAUGAAAUUUAUUAAAAUAUUAACCACUGUUGGUUUUUCUCCCCCCAGCAGCUCUCUAAUUUAUAUUAGUUCGUUCGGGAAUAACACAAUGCCAGUUUCUGACCUGUCAUCUGUGUCACCCCAGCUCUUGUCAGCUUUUACCUUGAGAAAAUUAUGUUGUUGAACUGAAUGCUAAAGAAGCAAACAGUGUUUAAGGUUAAUUUUAGAGGCUAGUCCUUCCCCAAAAUACGUCUUACAUCUUUUUCUUUCAACCUUUGAAAGGUUUUUAGGAACUGUUUGAUUCAUCCUUUUAUUACCGUGGCCUAAAGACCAGAGAAUACACAGAUUUGGUGUUGUGUAUGCACAUACAGGUAGGUGACCGUGCUUGCACACUCAAAUAGGGUUGUGUAUGUGGAGAGAGAAGGAAGGAAGGAAGGAAUGAACACUAGUCAUGUUCUGAGGAGUUGUGUUCUUAGUUCUCCUGAACUUCUUGAUCUCAUUACCACCACCCAGUGGAAUUCCUUGGAGCUCAUGCCAAGUCCCGAGGUGAACUUCAGGACUUCUCAUGGAAGCACCUGCUCCUCCAGUAAAGGAGCCCAAGUUCAUUGCAGAGGGAGUUUCCUCCUGACUGUGGAAGAGUUUCAAACAUUUUUUUAGAUUCUAGAUCUUUUAGUUCUGGGAAAAGUUGUGUGGAUGUUGGCAAUGAAAACCAUCUGCUUCUGAUAAACGGCCACAACCCAUCUGCUACCCUAGAUCUCAAAACGUACUGUUUUCCUAUUUAUUCACUAAUUUUCUUUCGUUUACAAGGUUUUCUAUUGAUGCCUCAUUUAUUUUGGAUAAAAGCCUUUCAUUUCUUGAGUGUCUUUGAGGUCUUGUAUUCUUUAACAAAGCAAGAUUUAAAAUGGUUAAAAGUAAGUACAAAAUUUUAAUUAGUAAAAAUUAAAACAUUGUACUCAUUACGUAGUCAGCUCCUUUUCUGGGAAAGUACAAGAUACUGAGCAGCUGCUUGGAACCUCUUUGUUGAUGGAGUUAAUAUGUCUGAUGUCUUUAAUCAUGUCCUUGCGAUGUACCCCGUCUACUGCAGUUUAGGCAGGUUUGGUUGGUAGCUCUGAAGAAGUGCAUUAAUUCUGUGGUCUACCUACACUUAAGCUGAAAGAGGGGAGACUGAGAUGAGAUCUUGGAAGAAAUGUUUUGCUGUGAGGGUGGGGAGGCCCUGGCCCAGGUUGCCCAGAGCAGUGGUGGCUGCCCCAUCCCUGGAGGGGUUCAAGGCCAGGUUGGAUGGGGCUUGGAGCCUCUGAUCCAGUGGGAGGUGUCCCUGCCCAUGGCAGGGGUUUGCACUUGAUGGGCUUUGAGGUCCCUUCUGACCCAAACUGUUCCAUGAGUCAAUGAUACGUGAAAAGAGGGAAGGGGUAAUUCUCACCAGUUUCUUGCUGGAGCUGCUCUACAAGUACUGUGGUAUAAAAUCAUGUGCUUUGAGGGGCUGAAGGAGCAAAGAAAAGAAAAAAAAUAGUGUGCUGUAAUAAAUCUGCUACUUUGGGGAUCAAGCAGAAAUACUUGUUCAAGCCUUUGCAGUCCUCUUCCAGUGGCUUUUGAGGGCUGCGGGAUACAGCCCGUGAUUUGAUUGCAUCACUCAGGGCUUUGAGUUGCUACUGCCUUUCCUUAGCAUUUAUGACACCAGCGCUACGCUUCAGCUCAUGCUUUGGAAUAGGGAACCCGCUGUGAUACUCUUCACGUAUGGAAAGGAUGUGCUGAGGAACUUGCCUACCAGAGUGUCCCAGUUUCUGUUCUCCCUUCCCCACCCCCACAGCUGAUGAAUGAGUGCACUUGUAAUACAGCGUAUAAUGGGUAUUACACUAUAACAGCCUUUAAAAGGUACACGAUACAGUCUUUCUCCCUUCCGCUUAACGCAAGGAUGACAGACAUCUGAAAUGGGGAAAAACAUCCAAGGCUAAGUGAAAAGGGGAAAAAAAGCGCAAUAAAAGGAGAUGGAAAAUGCAGGAGAUGGUGAAAAGGGUAAAAAGGCAUGUGUCAGGCAGCAGAUCGCUUACAGGGAGGUAUUUCUAGAAUAAACUGCAUUUUAUUGAAUUCAAUAAGAAUUGCUGUGGGAGCUGAAUUGAGUUUCUUGUGACUUGGAGCACAGCUAUUUCUUUUUCUCCUUGAUGGAUACGUUUCAGCAGUGAGUGAAUGAUUCCUCGGGAUGCGUUCACUCUGUGCUUUAACAACUGUUAAACUAAAAGGGACGGUUUACACUGUUCAGUGUCUUUUCUGGGUUAUGCCAGGACUGUGUCUUGAAUAAGGAGUGUUCCUAAACAUUAAACUGCAGAAUAGCGGGUAUAGUCCCAGGCAUAAAACCACCACAGUAUAUGGGAUUAGUGGAAUUUAUUCACUGACCUUAGUUUCCAGAAAGUUUCUCGCCUGUUUCCGGAGUUGAUAUUUGCAAUUUAUACAGGAACAACUCCAGGAAGAUUUUUGCAAAUAGGAAUUAUCAGGGAGAAUAAGAGAAAAUCGUCAGCACUGGUUAGUAUUGUAUGGCAGAGAUCUAAGUAGGUAGCAGCAUACACAGCCCAAACCCCAGAUACUCACCCAGUGGGACAGGGCGGACAGAAACAGCAAUUGGUGAACACUUUAAGAUUAAAAAAAGGAGAUUUGGGAAAUAAGAAGCCUCUUGAAACUGUGUGAUCACAAUAGAGCAUAGGCAGGAGAAGUACAGGGAGGGAUUAAAGGAAGACAUACAAAGAACGCUGGAGAUAGCAAAGUAUUAGAGAAGAAGCCAAAAAAAACCAAGAGAACAACCAGAAAAGUAGGAGUAGAAAAUGUAUAAUUUGCUUAUUAGGUGUCAUUUAGUACAACUUGUCACUUUUCUAUAGAGUGCUCUGGAUGGAUCAAGUGGUAUUUGGUUGAGGUUUUUUUUUUUUCUUCUUUCUUCUUCUUCUUUCUGUCCUCCUAUAGAGGAAGAGAACAACCCUGAUUAGCAGAAGCCCUAGGGGCUUUUAAGGUUGGUUGAUACUCUCAUUUGUUACCAAGCAUGUCGAUCCUUUCAGACUUGAGCUACCAGAGGAGAUAAUUUCUCCGUUGCUACAAUAAGCUGCUUCCCGUGUCCUCAUACUCCUCAAGAGCGUGCCAGCAGUGCCUGUCCACCUUGGAAAGGCCAGAGAGCCACCACACAGCCCUGAAAGGGCUCAGGUGCGAUUGUAGCAGGUAUAAUUAAAUGUAUUAACGAUGUGUAAUGAAAUGGCCAGCGCAAGGAUUUCGCAGCAAAAUGCUGCCGUGCUUUGAAAUGAUGAGUGUGUGGAUGGUCUGCGAGGAGCGGCGCUCCCAGGCACAACGGUCCUGACACGGAGAAGGUGGGAAGCAGUGGUGUUCUAAUCCCAGCUGGAAUAUCUUUAUUGCCAGAAAGAAGUUGUGCACUUUUAUUUUUUUCUCUUCUAUUAGUCAUUCAUUCUUUGGCUUUUUGUUACCCUCCCCUCCCUAAACUUAGGAUGGUUUUGAAAGAGAAUUACACCCGUGAUCCUGUUUGAAACUGGAACCGGGUCAGAAAUGCGCUGGGCUGUUAAAUCUAUCAAAUAUUUAUGGUAUCAGCUUCAUUUUCACACUGUAAUGACCUUGCUGGUUAUUUCUGGAUGUACAUGCUCGUAAGCGGAAAAACAGUGUCGUUCUGUGCGUGUGCAUUCUCACCCUCUUUUUUGGCUCUAACAAGAAGCUGCAAGUUUUGAUCUCACCUGUGUCCCUGCUGUCAAAACUUUCCACUUCUGACAUUUCCAUGAUUCCUUCCUAAGCACAGAAAACGCUGCAGGAUGAGUGGCAGCUGUCAACAUUUACCGUUCCCUGGGUAUGAAGGGAAUUAAUGAUGGAAAAUGCUUCUGGGAGGCAGGUGCCUCUCCUAAACCAGUGCUUCCUUUGUCAAGGACACAAACUGCAGGGAUUUCUGCCAGACAGGCGUCCCCUCCCCAGUUUCCUGGAAGCAGCUCCUGGAUUUUGGAGGACGAGAUGCUAGGACGGUGAUACCGUGUUGCCGGCCAGAAACGCUGACUAAGAGACAUUUUCAGAUGUUGCGUCGCGGUUCUGGGCUGAUUUGCUAAGGUGUUUCCUCUUUUGGCACUGGAA